rnacentral:rRNA from 1 species
UACGUAGGGGGCAAGCGUUGUCCGGAAUCAUUGGGCGUGAAGAGCGUGUAGGUGGCUCGGUAAGUCCGCUGUGAAAGUCCAGGGCUCAACCCUGGAAUGCCGGUGGAAACUGUCGAGCUCGAGUCCGGAAGAGGCGAGUGGAAUUCCUGGUGUAGCGGUGAAAUGCGCAGAUAUCAGGAGGAACACCAAUGGCGAAGGCAGCUCGCUGGGACGGUACUGACGCUGAGACGCGAAAGCGUGGGGAGCGAACAGG